UGCCAGCCGCCGCGGUAAUACGGAGGAUCCAAGCGUUAUCCGGAAUCAUUGGGUUUAAAGGGUCCGUAGGAGGACAAAUAAGUCAGAGGUGAAAUCCUGCAGCUCAACUGUCGAACUGCCAUUGAUACUGGAAAUCUUGAGUACAAAUGAAGUAGGCGGAAUGAGUCAUGUAGCGGUGAAAUGCUUAGAUAUGACCUAGAACACCGAUUGCGAAGGCAGCCAACAAUGCCAUUACUGACGCUGAGGGACGAAAGCGUGGGGAGCGAACAGGAUUAGAUA
rnacentral:rRNA from 1 species